UAUUCACAGAAAUCUAUCUGUAUAGCGCCACCUGCUGUUUGCCCUUUUUCUAAAUUCUGUCUCUAGCUCACUGAGGUUGACUUAGAUCAGUGGUUGCUGA